GUGAGGAAUUUUGCGCAAUGGGGGCAACCCUGACGCAGCGACGCCGCGUGGAGGGCGAAGUCUUUCGGGAUGUAAACUCCUGUCAGUGGGGACGAUAAUGACGGUACCCACAGAGGAAGCACCGGCUAACUCCGUGCCAGCAGCCGCGGUAAGACGGAGGGUGCAAGCGUUGUUCGGAAUUACUGGGCGUAAAGCGUAUGUAGGCGGCAAGUUAAGUUCAAUGUUAAAGCCCACGGCUCAACCGAGGAGAUGCAUUGAAUACUGGCUAGCUAGAGGGUGUUAGAGGAAGACGGAAUUCCCAGUGUAGCGGUGAAAUCCGUAGAUAUUGGGAGGAACAUCGGUAGCGAAAGCGGUCUUCUGGGACAUACCUGACGCUGAGGUACGAAAGCGUGGGGAGCAAACGGGAUUAGAUACCCUGGUAGUCC
rnacentral:rRNA from 1 species